GGAGGCUUUGAAGUGUGGACGCCAGUCUGCAUGGAGCCGUCCUUGAAAUACCACCCUUUAAUGGCUGGUGUUCUAACGUGGGCCCGUGAUCCGGGUUGCGGACAGUGUCUGGUGGGUAGUUUGACUGGGGCGGUCUCCUCCUAAAGAGUAACGGAGGAGCACGAAGGUCAGCUAAUCCUGGUCGGACAUCAGGAGGUUAGUGCAAUGGCAUAAGCUGGCUUGACUGCGAGCGUGACGGCGCGAGCAGGUGCGAAAGCAGGUCAUAGUGAUCCGGUGGUUCUGAAUGGAAGGGCCAUCGCUCAACGGAUAAAAGGUACUCCGGGGAUAACAGGCUGAUACCGCCCAAGAGUUCAUAUCGACGGCGGUGUUUGGCACCUCGAUGUCGGCUCAUCACAUCCUGGGGCUGAAGUAGGUCCCAAGGGUAUGGCUGUUCGCCAUUUAAAGUGGUACGCGAGCUGGGUUUAGAACGUCGUGAGACAGUUCGGUCCCUAUCUGCCGUGGGCGCUGGAGAAUUGAGGGGGGCUGCUCCUAGUACGAGAGGACCGGAGUGGACGCAUCACUGGUGUUCGGGUUGUCAUGCCAAUGGCAUUGCCCGGUAGCUAAAUGCGGAAGAGAUAAGUGCUGAAAGCAUCUAAGCACGAAACUUGCC
rnacentral:rRNA from 1 species